rnacentral:rRNA from 1 species
AUGCCUUACGAUGAGCGAUACACACCGUACAUCAAGCAGGCAGGACUCCCGUGGAUUCUGUUGGUCAGCCGGUCCACGCCGAAUCUGAACGCUCCACUGGUGUCCGCUCUUGUUGAUCGGUGGAGGCCAGAGACCCACAGUUUCCAUCUUCGGACCGGGGAGAUGACCGUGACGCUCGAGGAUGUCUCGUUGAUCACCGGUCUUGCUAUCGACGGGAGGCCUCUAUGUAUGAGCACCGAUUCUGAUGGGUGGCGCGAGCAGAUGAUUGCUCUUAUCGGUAUGGCUCCUACCGAGGCUGAGGAUGAUGUAGAGGAGGGAGAAGAGAAGAAGAAGAGGGAAAGGAAGGCAGCCGGAGCUGCUUUCACGUGGAUUCAAAAUAACUUUGCGACGUGCCCUCCGGAUGCAACUGAUGAUGUGAUCCAGACACAUGCGACGUGCCCUCCGGAUGCAACUGUAUAG